UAUUUCAAUUAAGGUUGUCCACGAGCAAAGCGGAAAAGUCGCUAACAAAUUAAUGAAUUUUCAAAGCGAUUCCCAGCAUCCUUUCGCGCUCGUAUUCGACUUUUCCGCUUUGCUCGUGGACAACCUUAAUUGAAAUA